rfam:TPA: Bos taurus chromosome 22, whole genome shotgun sequence.
CCUGGUGGCUCAGAGGUUAAAGCAUCUGCCUGGAAUGCAGGAGACCCGGGUUCGAUCCCUGGGUCAGGA